GACCGGCGCACGGGUGAGUAACACGUAUCCAACCUGCCGUCUACUCUUGGACAGCCUUCUGAAAGGAAGAUUAAUACAAGAUGGCAUCAUGAGUCCGCAUGUUCACAUGAUUAAAGGUAUUCCGGUGGACGAUGGGGAUGCGUUCCAUUAGAUAGUAGGCGGGGUAACGGCCCACCUAGUCUUCGAUGGAUAGGGGUUCUGAGAGGAAGGUCCCCCACAUUGGAACUGAGACACGGUCCAAACUCCUACGGGAGGCAGCAUG
rnacentral:rRNA from 1 species